GAGUUGUUAAGGAAGGGAAAUAAAUGGCAGUGGACUAUAGAAUGUCAAGCAGCAUUCGAAAAAUUGAAGCAGAUGAUAAUAGCAGAACCAGUGUUAGCUCUCCCAGAUAUGGAAAAACCUUUUGAGGUACACACGGAUGCUUCAGACUUAGCGCUGGGAGCAGUUUUGAUGCAAGAAGGACACCCAAUUGCUUUUGAAAGCCGGAAACUAAAAGAUGCUGAACUUCGCUAUACAGCUCAAGAGAAAGAGUUAUUGGCGGUAGUACACUGUCUUCGUACAUGGAGGCACUACUUGUUGGGAUCAAAAUUUGUGGUGAAGACAGAUAAUACAGCAGUGAGCCACUUCCUCUCUCAACCAAAGUUGACUCCCAAACAAGCACGAUGGCAGGAAUGCCUAGCAGAGUUUGAUUUCCUAUUUGAGUAUAAGCCAGGGAGUUCUAAUCGGGUUGCAGAUGCAUUGAGCAGGAAAUCGAACUUAGCAACCUUGAAACAUCUAGCUUAGUUAUCAAGGAGCCAAGUAGACACGUCAUUGCGAAGACAAGUUCGGGAUAACUUAAAGAAGGAUCCCCAAGCAGUAGCAUUGAUGAAAUUGGUAGAAGAGAGGAAGACCAGACAAUUUUGGUUGAAGGAUGAUCUCUUGAUGACCCGAAAAAUCGGGUAUAUGUCCCAAAGGCUGGAAAUUUGAGGAAAUUUUUACUGCAGGAAUGUCAUGAUACCUUGUGGA
rnacentral:misc_RNA from 1 species